GAUGAAGAACGUAGCGAAAUGCGAUACGUAAUGUGAAUUGCAGAAUUCAGUGAAUCAUCGAGUCUUUGAACGCACAUUGCGCCCCCUGGUAUUCCGGGGGGCAUGCCUGUCCGAGCGUCAUUGCUGCCCUCAAGCACGGCUUGUGUGUUGGGCCUCCGUCCUCCUCCCGGGGGACGGGCCCGAAAGGCAGCGGCGGCACCGCGUCCGGUCCUCGACCGUAUGGGGCUUCGUCACCCGCUCUUGUAGGCCCGGCCGGCGCUUGCCGACACAUCAAUCUUUUUUCCAGGUUGACCUCGGAUCAGGUAGGGAUACCCGCUGAACUUAAGCAUAUCAUAAGCGGAGGA
rnacentral:misc_RNA from 1 species